rnacentral:rRNA from 1 species
UACGUAGGCAGCGAGCGCUGUUCGGAGUUACUGGGCGUAAAGCGUGCGUAGGCGGUGGUCCAAGUCUGGUGUGAAAUCUCCCGGCUCAACUGGGAGGGUGCGCCGGAAACUGGGCCGCUGGAGUACGGGAGAGGCAAGCGGAAUUCCUGGUGUAGCGGUGAAAUGCGUAGAUAUCAGGAGGAACACCCGUGGUGCAGACGGCUUGCUGGACCGUGACUGACGCUGAGGCACGAAAGCGUGGGUAGCAAACAGG